rnacentral:rRNA from 1 species
ACGCUCGGCGAUCCCCAACGCGCAGCCCUCGCGUUCU